rnacentral:rRNA from 1 species
UACGAGGGGGGCGAGCGUUGUUCGGAAUUAUUGGGCGUAAAGGGUGCGUAGGCGGUUCCGCAAGUCCUGUGUGAAAUCUUCGGGCUCAACUGGGAGGGUGCGCCGAAAACUGGAAUGCUUGAACAUGGGAGAGGAAAGCGGAAUUCCUGGUGUAGCGGUGAAAUGCGUAGAUAUCAGGAGGAACACCUGCGGUGUAGACGCUUUCUGGACCAGCACUGACACUGAGGCACGAAAGCGUGGGGAGCAAACAGG